rnacentral:rRNA from 1 species
GAUGAACGCUGGCGGCGUGCCUAAUACAUGCAGGUCGAGCGAACAGACGAGGAGCUUGCUCCUCUGACGUUAGCGGCGGACGGGUGAGUAACACGUGGAUAACCUACCUAUAAGACUGGGAUAACUUCGGGAAACCGGAGCUAAUACCGGAUAAUAUAUUGAACCGCAUGGUUCAAUAGUGAAAGACGGUUUUGCUGUCACUUAUAGAUGGAUCCGCGCCGCAUUAGCUAGUUGGUAAGGUAACGGCUUACCAAGGCAACGAUGCGUAGCCGACCUGAGAGGGUGAUCGGCCGCACUGGAACUGAGACACGGUCCAGACUCCUACGGGAGGCAGCAGUAGGGAAUCUUCCGCAAUGGGCGAAAGCCUGACGGAGCAACGCCGCGUGAGUGAUGAAGGUCUUCGGAUCGUAAAACUCUGUUAUUAGGGAAGAACAAAUGUGUAAGUAACUAUGCACGUCUUGACGGUACCUAAUCAGAAAGCCACGGCUAACUACGUG